rnacentral:rRNA from 1 species
UUGAACGCUGGCGGCAGGCCUAACACAUGCAAGUCGAACGGUAACAGGGAUCAGCUUGCUGAUUCGCUGACGAGUGGCGGACGGGUGAGUAAUGUCUGGGAAACUGCCUGAUGGAGGGGGAUAACUACUGGAAACGGUAGCUAAUACCGCAUAACGUCGCAAGACCAAAGAGGGGGACCUUCGGGCCUCUUGCCAUCGGAUGUGCCCAGAUGGGAUUAGCUAGUAGGUGGGGUAACGGCUCACCUAGGCGACGAUCCCUAGCUGGUCUGAGAGGAUGACCAGUCACACUGGAACUGAGACACGGUCCAGACUCCUACGGGAGGCAGCAGUGGGGAAUAUUGCACAAUGGGCGCAAGCCUGAUGCAGCCAUGCCGCGUGUAUGAAGAAGGCCUUCGGGUUGUAAAGUACUUUCAGCGGGGAGGAAGGGAGUAAAGUUAAUACCUUUGCUCAUUGACGUUACCCGCAGAAGAAGCACCGGCUAACUCCGUG